AGAGAGAGAGAGAGAGAGACGUGUACAGAUAGUCGUGUUACAACCAAAGUUUCUGCUGACUUGUGUAUCAGCUCGGGAGAUUGGCGCAUUGUCUCCUCCUACUAGCUGGACCGUAAUUCAAUUACACACAACUUUCGAAGACGUGUUCCAUGCACGGCAACAUGUGGCCGGCGUGUGGAAUGAGAAGACAUUCUACGACGUUGAAGAUUGUGUUGGCGGUCUCGACCGGUCUUGCGUAUUUGUAUAGUGCCGGAUACGAGAUAUGUACGAUCUCAGCACUUUCGUUGAUCUUUCUGGGACUGGCUUAUCGGUAUUAUCAGCUGUGUGUUCAGGAGAAAUUAAACACGCAGCAUCUCAUAGUCAUAACCGGCUGCGAUUCCGGUCUGGGAUAUAGCCUGGCGUUUCACUGUCGGGCUCUUGGCGCGACAGUUUUGGCGGGAGUGCUGUAUCCCGAUAGUCAGGCUGCCCAAAGUCUGACGGAGAGCAAAGUUAUCGUUCAUCGCCUUGACAGCACCAAUGAAGAGAGCAUCGAGCAAUUUGCGAAAUACAUCAAGACCUUAUGCGUCGAGAAAAAAUGUGACCUAUAUGCGUUGAUAAACAACGCCGGAGUGAUGAUCUUCGGCGAAUUCGAUUGGCAGACGCAGCAGCAGGUGAAGAAUCAGGUAGCGGUGAAUCUCGUAGGGACAAUGAGAGUCACGCAGAUCCUCAUGCCGGUUAUACUAUCGAACAAAAGCAGAAUCAUCGUGAUAAGCAGCCACUGCGCCGAAGAAUUCUUACCGGGUUUGAGCGUAUACGGAGCAACGAAAGCCGCCCUCCGCGCUUGGUCCAUCUCCCUUCGGGUAGAGCUCGCCAAGUACGGUGUCAAAGUGAUCUCCUUCAUACCCGGUAACUUUACGGGAGAAAGCAACAUCAUGGCACGUCAACGGCAGUACUUCAACGAGAUGAAGCGAUCGAUGAAGUCCGAAGCGAUGGUCUUUUACGACGACUAUUUCACUCGAUACGUAGAGUAUUAUUCUUCCGUCGCGGGACAAAACGAUUUGAAGCGCGUGACGAAUUCCGGUAUUUACGAGAUUUUCGACAACGCUCUCCUCGACGUUUACCCAUCGGCGAUUUACAAAUGGGAAUCGUGGAAAUAUUUUUUCUAUUAUGCAUCGUUCAAGUACACACCAACGUGUGUACGUGAUCGAUUGAUAAAUAGAUUCGUGAAGCCUCCCUCUUGGCACAAGUCGACCAUCGACCUAUGAUCCACCAUCGUAGACAUAUGUCGAGUGCCUUGAGAUUUUUCGCGCUCGAUACUGGUGCACAAUGCUCGAAAACAGUAAAUACAGCUGGGUGUGAAUGAAUCAGUGUCAAUAAAUUAUCAGCAGUUGUCUCUUCACCUGAUUAUCUAUUUCUGUUAUUAAGCCUGGUUGCUACACGUUUCUCAUCGCUUUUGUACAGAGUCAUUCAAAACAAGCAGGAUUCUUGGGACCGAGUCAGGACCGAAAACUGGCGAUUAAUUAACAAUUUCAUUAUAAAAUCAUGAUUUUGUGUCAUAAGUGAAAUUUGAAGAAAAAACAUAUGUAUGUAGGGAAGUUGAGGUGCACAAAGUAUGCAAAAUUAAUAUUUUUUUAAAAAUAACAGUGAUGUGUUGCAUCUCUCUUUUUCUCUUUCUUCCCACACACACACACACACACACACACGCAAUAUGUAUAUAAUGCGUGUUUUGGAGAAAUGUGGACGAUUUGUGGAUGAACGUUUCAAUUGUUUACAGAUGUAAUUUCAAUAUUGAUAGAUGUAAGAGAUACGAUCCGAGUAUGAUGUGCAGUGUCACUUAUGAAAUAAGACAAUAUUAAGAAAUAUUAUUGUAUAUAUCAUUACAUUGUGAAUAACAACAAGAGCGAGACAUACAGGGUAAUUGCAGAAAAAUAUUUAUAGUGUUUCUACAUAUAACUGUGUGUCAACAUAUAACUUAUACACGCGAUAAUUUUUUUUUGCUUAGAAAGCAACGGAAAAAUAAUCACCGUAACAUAUGUCUUUUUUUACAAAAGUAUUUUACGAAACUGUUGUCGGAGUUAUUUUCAGGUACAACUAAGUAAUCUCGCAAAUAACUGGAGAUCGUUGGACGAACCGAAGCAUUAAUCGCGGUAAAAAUGUGCCAUACGUAUCUGCCAAUUCUAUUUAUCAGAAUCAACGACUGUCACUUGAUUGCUUGUGGAACGUCAAUUGUUUGUUCAAGCACAAUGAAGCACAAUGAAGCCACGAAGACCGAUAAGCUGCACAAACUUGCAACAUCAGCACAGGGCUGGCAGGUGUUUGAUUAGAUAUUAACAGGCGGAAGAUAUAAAUAGUCGGCUCGCGCUGAUGG
rnacentral:misc_RNA from 1 species